AUUUAAUUAAUUUUGUUAUGUUUUGCUAUGGGUUUUUCUUUUCUAUCCUAUGCAACUACAUGACCAAACGGUGGCUGUCUGGGCUGCUUUGAAAUCUACGUACCCAGCCUGUGGGACAUGGUGCCGUCCAUGCAGACCUCUCAGUAGCACUGGUGCCUUGGAAGAAGGCAAGAGGCCUGAGCCUCCUGUUGCUUCACAGAACCUUGUGGCACUUGCGCCCUCUGCUGUCCAUCCCUUGUUCUGCAGAAGAAAAGUCAAGGCCCAGGGUUGGCCAGCAUUCUGUGUCUUCCCUGGGGAUUGUAGCUCCUGUCAUCUGAAAACUCAUUGCAGCGGCAGCUAAGCUCCUCUCCAGCUCCAUUGUCUUAAGAACGGAAUGCUAGACAGCAGCAGCAAAGGAAAAAAAAAAAGGGUGACUCCAGAGAUGACUGACUGAGGAAGACUCACUUUCAUGGAGGAAUGCUCUGGGGUCCUGGACUGAUCAGAAAGGAAAAGAGGAGAAACCCAGCUAUGAAAUAAGACUUUGGAUUGGAUAACAACGGUUGCAAGCAUCAGCAUCUCUUAACAUUUUUCCCACCUUGACUGGGGAGGCUUCACUUCUCCAUUUCUCAGGAAUGAACCUUCACCUGCCGACUUGGGCAGGAGGUCAGCAGGGGAGAUGUCUGAGUUAAGCAUAUCACAUGCGCCAGAGUCCAGCAGCAUCUGGUUGGAAGCAAGUUCAUGUUGUGAAAAUGAGGCCAGAGGUGCAAAAGGUAAAUUAGUAGGUGAUUAUGUGCUGUGUACAAGAAUCAAUGCUGUAAGGAGUUCUUUAAACAGGCACCAUGGCAAGGUCUGAAUAAAACUCUGUAAGUCCUCCCCAACUCCAGGUGUGGCAGGCACUUGGUAAGAAGAUGCUUGGUUUCCACCAGAUGUAUUGCUAGGAUAGGAUUCAUCACUAAACUGCAAACUGCUUUCUGCCUGUAUAGCUUGGCCACUUCUUAGCCUUUAAAAGAAUUUCUUUAGUUUUUUGUGUAUGAGUAUUUUUGCCCAUAUGUGAGUUUGUGUACCACAAAUGUGUCCGUGAAGGCCAGGAGUGGGUGUCAGAUACCCUGAAAUUGGAUUCACAGGUUUUUGAGCCACCAUGAGGGUGCUGGGAACUAAAUAUAGGUCCCCUGUAAGAGCAGCAGGUAUUUUU